UACGAAGGGGGCUAGCGUUGCUCGGAAUCACUGGGCGUAAAGGGCGCGUAGGCGGCUGUUCAAGUCGGGGGUGAAAGCCUGUGGCUCAACCACAGAAUUGCCUUCGAUACUGGACGGCUGGAGACCGGAAGAGGUCAGUGGAACUGCGAGUGUAGAGGUGAAAUUCGUAGAUAUUCGCAAGAACACCAGUGGCGAAGGCGGCUGACUGGUCCGGUUCUGACGCUGAGGCGCGAAAGCGUGGGGAGCAAACAGG
rnacentral:rRNA from 1 species